AUGAGAAUGCUAAAAACCAGGCAGGGGGAGUCAUGUGCCCAAGGCCACCCUACAGAGAUCAGAGGAGACACAGCCAAGACCAGGGCCCACUCCCGCGCCCUUCACUACACACUUCUGGGCCUCCCCAAGAAUGUUGCUGUCUCAGAGCUCCGAGUGCCUCCUGUGCCCUUCCCCCAUCCUUCACAAAAGGAAGCUGGGACAUCAAACAAUAAAUUGGGCUCUGGCCCAGUCUUGCUUCUGCUUCCACCUUUGUCCCCAGUCUCUUCCCUCGCCUCUAGUCCCAGUCCAGCCUUUCGCCCCUGCAGCCCCAUGUCCCCGUGCUGCUGCCCCAAUAUACAAGGGGCUUGGUUCUGGCCCCUGCAGCUAUCUCACUGUGACCCUGAAGGCAGAGACAACGCCCCCUCUUUUACAGACGAGGAAACUGAGGCCCAGGUCCCCUGAUUUGUGAGGGGUUUCUUUUGGUGUGAUUGCUCCCAAACCCUGCCAGAAGCCCACUCCUCCAGCCUCAGGAGCAGGAGCUCAAUUUCAAUGGGUUGAAGCGAGGACUGAGGAAGAUGCCCCAGGCAGAAGGAACAAUUAGGGCAAGAGCAGACCCUGGGGAGGAUCCGAGUCCUGGGGCUGAGCCCAAGAGGGGACCCUGACUCACUCACAACAGGCUGUGCAUUCAGGAGUUGUCCCAAAGGGAUGUGCCCUCAGCUAUCAGCCAUCAGCCAGAUUCAGGGGCCUACUCUGUCCUGGUUAUGGGAGACCCAGGUAACCCCACUUGCAGGUACCUAUCACUUGGGUAACCCUAUCUGAAGAUAAAGAAGGUAUUAGGUAGUGGAGGGGGGGCACCAGGUAAUAGCUAGCAUGCUGUCAGAACCAAGUCAGGACUUUAUCAGCAAAGCUCUUCCCCACUGCUGACUGUGGAAGCCUGGCCAGCUAAGAUGUCCUAACGCACAGAUAGGGAAACUGAGGCUCAGGAUGAGGGGCAUGGGAUCACAGGGAGAGAACCAGGCUGCUCAAGUUCAUUAUAAGGCUGGUUGAGACCCUUGCCUCUCUAAUCCCCCUCCUCUGUUUCCGGCAGCUCCCUGCAGCUAACCCCAAGCCAAGCCUUGGGCUGACACCCUCCCAGGCACAGGGCACCAGUUCUCGAACUGUGUUCUCAGGAGCCCUAGGGAGUAGGCAGGGGGCCCCUGGGCUUGUGUGGAGGAUCACGGGUCAUGAGAGAGAGGUCAGAAGGCCGGACCUGCUUGCUGCCUCCCUCAGCCAGAGAAUCUCCUGUUCAUGCAUUCACUGGCUGGGGACCUACACGGAUUUCCGUGAACAAAGAGGAAGGGCUCAGUUGCUACAAGAGAGUGAAUGCAGUGAUGCCUGGUGGAUUAAAUUUUCAUUCUUUCUCAGAACUCCCUGAAACCACAGUAAAGGGCUAUGGAAAAUAGUGAAAAACCCACGGGUCAUAGAAUAUGCGGAGGAAGCACCAGGGACAUGUUGGAAGCUAGCAGCAGAUGGACUGUGGGUGACUGGCUCAGCAGGCUGUGGAGGGCUCACCUCUGCUGGCAGUGGGUUAAUGAUGGGAAACUCCAAAGGCUAAAACCCCAGAUGAGCAACAGGGAGAAGCUUUGCUGGGGAACCUGCAGCCCAGGAGGGCAAUAGGACCAGCGUGCCCACCAGGAACCCCAAGGACCCCCCUGCCAUACCCAGAGUCCCACCUCCACAACUCAGUGCCCUGCCCUUUGAUGGUGUUUCCACCUGAGGCCCAGAGGGUUGUUAAUUCCUCUGCUCAGCUCCUGUCACGUUAUCUUCUCUGUCUGCUUAAAUAUGAGCAGACCGUUUGGAAACCCAAACAUUGAGGGGCAGGGGUGGGGAGACGGGCACGUAGAAGUCAGAGGCCAAAACAAACAAAAACCGGAAGGAACCUGGGCUACAUGGAAAGACGAAAGUUUGAAAAAAGACGCUAUAAAUUGUGUAUACAAGGGUUGAAGAAACAAACAUAUUGUAGAUGAUGAGAGCUGGAUUUCUCACUGUUAGAGAGGCAGUCACCAGAAAGGAAUGGAGGGAGACUUCAGUGAAUCCUGUUGUACUGGACUGGAGUAGAGGCUUCAGUGUAGACUCACUGUUGCGAAUGUAUAUAAAGACAGACAGACAAAGACAUAAUUACAUAUAUGUGUGUACACAUGGACGAUACAUAUUUUUUUUACUUCUUGUGAGACAACCCAGCAACAGUGACAUCCCCCUAGCAAUGAGCAUGCUCAGCACCCCAAUCUUGAUUUCUAAAUACCAUUCGCUAAUAAAUGGAACCAGAACUCCUUGGAGAAGUGGCUGAUUCCAGGGAAAAUACAAGAUGAGCUGAAGAUCUUGUGGUAACAAAAAAGAAAAGAACUAUUCAAAUAAGGACCCCAGCAUGUCAAAGGGCACAGGAGCCAACCUAGAAGAGCUCCCAAAGCCAAAGCUGGAAUAACCUGGGCAAGAAAAUUAUGAUAAUACUAAAUAACCACACAUAGAGUAAGCAUUCAUGAGUUCAUACUGACAUAAGUAAAUAAUUGAUAAAUAANNNNNNNNNNNNNNNNNNNNNNNNNNNNNNNNNNNNNNNNNNNNNNNNNNNNNNNNNNNNNNNNNNNNNNNNNNNNNNNNNNNNNNNNNNNNNNNNNNNNNNNNNNNNNNNNNNUCUACAGAUGGAUGUUAAAAUUAAUGGGCAAAGGUUUGAGAGAAAUGGGAUAUUUGCAUAGUCUCAAGGUAUCCUCGAAGAAAUGUAUUAAUUAUUAAUACAAAGGGGGAAAAGGGCAACUUCAUAGUAGAGGAACCAAGAAGAUACCAGCUUAACUAAAUGAUCAAAGGUAACAUCACCCAUAAUGAGAUAUAUUGGCAUCAGGUUCUCCCUGAUAUGCUGCACUGAGAAAGACACAUCCCUUUCUAUGGUGUUUUUCCUAAAAAUGCAUAACCUCAGUUUUUAAAAAGUAUCAAGGUCAUGAAAGACAAAGAAAGACAUAGAAACCGUCACAGAUUGGAGGAGACUAAGGAUACAUGACAACUAAAGGCAAGGCAAGACUCUGGAUUGGAUCCUGAAAAGGAAAAAGGACGUUGGUGCAAAAACUGGUGAAAUCCAAAUACAGUUUUCACGCUGGUUAGUGUUAAUGUACCGGUGUCAAUUUCUUCCUUGAUAUUUGUACUAUGGUUAUGCAAGAUGGUAACAUUAAAGGGGAGUAGUGAAAGGUUAGGAAAUUUCUGUACUAUUUUGGCAACCUCUCUGUAAAUCUAAAAUUAUUUCAAAAUAGAAAGUUUUUUUUUUAAAGCUAUCAUCUUCAGAGAGCUGACAGGAUCAAUGGCAUCAGUGAAACAAGAGCAAGAUGUUAUUUUUUAAAAGAACCAAAAAAAGAGAUCCAAGAAUUUAAAAUAUGCUAACAAAGUGUAAAACAUUACAGAAAGGUUGGAAGACAAAAUUGAGAAAUCUCCUGAUAAAAAGAUA
ensembl:lncRNA